rnacentral:rRNA from 1 species
AUUGAACGCUGGCGGAAUGCUUUACACAUGCAAGUCGAGCGGCAGCGCGGGGGCGAACCCUGGCGGCGAGCGGCGAACGGGUGAGUAACAUAUCGGAACGUACCCAGUCGUGGGGGAGUAACUAUCCGAAAGGAUAGCUAAUACCGCAUACGUCCUGAGGGAGAAAGCGGGGGAGUCGCAAGACCUCGCGCGAUUGGAGCGGCCGAUAUCGGAUUAGCUAGUUGGUGGGGUAAAGGCUCACCAAGGCGACGAUCCGUAGCGGGUCGUGAGAGGACGACCCGCCACACUGGAACUGAGACACGGUCCAGACUCCUACGGGAGGCAGCAGUGGGGAAUUUUUGGACAAUGGGGGCGAACCCUGAUCCAGCCAUUCCGCGUGAGUGAAGAAGGCC